GUUCUGCAUGGUGAGCAAAGUCUGUGGGUUGAUGGGUGUGGUGCCAUCUCUGGAAAGAUCCUGUCUCACUGCACUUCUUCCUGUGGCUGUUGUCUGUCCCUUGUCUGUCUUUCCUUCCUUCUGCAGAUAAUUGUGAAACACCUACUCUGCCAGGCCCUGGGGGAAUGAGGGUGAACAAUCUUAAACAUCUCUGCCUUCCUGGAGCACACCUUCUAGGUUGCACAGUGGCUCAGAGAGUAGACUUGGAGCCAGGCUGCCCGGUUUGUAGCCCUGCUUGACCUGUGUGAUCCGAGGUGAGUUAUUUCACCUCUCUACGCUUUUGUGGUGCCUCUUUCCUCAUUGGGUUGUUUGUGAGGUGCAAACAACUCACUAUCUGUGCAUAUGUGAAGCA
rnacentral:lncRNA from 1 species